rnacentral:tRNA from 1 species
GGAGGGAUGGCCGAGCGGUUUAAGGCAGUGGUCUUGAAAACCACCAGGGUUCACGCCCUCGUGGGUUCGAAUCCCACUCCCUCCG